GGCCUCGUAGCUCAGCUGAAUAGAGCACUUGAUUACGGCUCAAGAGGUCUCAGGUUUGAAUCCUGACGAGGUCA
rnacentral:tRNA from 2 species